rnacentral:rRNA from 1 species
GACGAACGCUGGCGGCGUGCUUAACACAUGCAAGUCGAACGGAAAGGCCCUGCUUUUGUGGGGUGCUCGAGAGGCGAACGGGUGAGUAACACGUGAGUAACCUGCCCUUGACUUUGGGAUAACUUCAGGAAACUGGGGCUAAUACCGGUUAGGAGCUGCUGUUGCAUGGUGGGGGUUGGAAAGUUUCGGCGGUUGGGAAUGGACUCGCGGCUUCUCAGCUUGUUGGUGGGGUAGUGGCUUACCAAGGCUUUCACGUGUAGUCGGCCGGAGCGGGUGACGCGCAAGAUUGGGACGUAGAUACGCCCGAGACUCCUCCGGGAGGCAGCAGUAGGGAAUAUUGCUCAGUGGUCGGAGGCCUGAUGCAGCAACGCCGCGGGCGGGGGGACGGACUUCUGGUUGUAGACAGCUUUCGCCUGUGACGAAGCGUUAGUGACGGUAAUGGGUAAAGAAGCGCCGGAUAACUACGUGCCAGCAGCCGCCGUAA